AAUUUCCUUUUUUCUUUAAUGCUGAUAAUUCUAAGAGACGGUCAUAGAAGACCGCGUUAAUAGUGCUCUAAGGGAGUCGUGGUUAUCCUCCUCUACUACACUCGUUUAUUCUUGAGCGGCACUCGGAAUCAGGAAACCCUUUGCAUUGUUCGCUAUGGCUCGUCGUGAGGACCAAUUCUCCCAACUUUGCUCAAAGGAAACCCUGGAAGAGCUGGUGCAGGAGCCAUUCUCCGUGCUCCAGAUAAUACUGUGAUCUUCUCUUCUCGCGAGGGUUUAGGCGUAGCUACAAACAACGUUGCUGAGUAUCGAGCUCUCCAAUCUUGGCCUCGAGUCUGCUCUUAACAACGGCUUUAGAAAUGUGCGCGUCCAGGGUGAUUCACAGCUUGUCUGUAAGCAGGUUCAAGGUGAAUGGGCAACCCGACACCCGAAAAUGACUGAGCUUUGUGGACAAGCACAGGAGCUUAUGAGUCAGUUUAAAUCAUGCGAUAUUCAACACGUUCCCAGGGAAUUCAAUUCAGUGGCUGAUGCUCAAGCUAGCCUUGCGACCAAUCUGGCUGAGGGUGAACGUCAAGAACAUACUACAGGCGGCUAUGGAAGAAGGGGAUACUAAUAUCCAAGUGGAGUAAUAUGCCUUUUCCUGUUUUCUUGUUUUUGGGAUCAUGACUUUUUUUAGCAUGUUGUGUGUUAACACGAUGAUGGACAUGCUCUUUCUCUCUCUUUUGCUUUGUCCCACGGCAUGUUGACUUCCCAAUCGUCUACUACUUAUUCUACUAGGGGCAAAGCCCCCGCGCAAGCGCGGAGCCGGAUAUAUUUUACAUGCUGUUGUAAUUUUAUGUAUGAAAUUUACUUGUUUGUAUUUUCUAAUAUUUUUCUCUGUGUUGUCUGUAAUAAUGAUGAAUAGAACAAUGAAA